rnacentral:rRNA from 1 species
GAUGAACGCUGGCGGUAUGCUUAACACAUGCAAGUCGAACGGACUCUUCGGAGUUAGUGGCGGACGGGUGAGUAACGCGUGAGAAUCUGGCUUUGGGUUCGGGACAACCACUGGAAACGGUGGUUAAUACCGGAUGUGCCGAGAGGUAAAAGAGAAAUUGCCUGAAGAUGAGCUCGCGUCUGAUUAGCUAGUUGGUGAGGUAAAGGCUCACCAAGGCAGCGAUCAGUAGCUGGUCUGAGAGGAUGACCAGCCACACUGGGACUGAGACACGGCCCAGACUCCUACGGGAGGCAGCAGUGGGGAAUUUUCCGCAAUGGGCGAAAGCCUGACGGAGCAAUACCGCGUGAGGGAAGAAGGCUCUUGGGUUGUAAACCUCUUUUCUUAGGGAAGAACAAAAUGACGGUACCUAAGGAAUCAGCAUCGGCUAACUCCGUG